GUCCAUGACAUAAACAAAAUGGAGGACAACUUUAAACUUCGCUAUGUUUUCACAAUUCACAUACCCGGGUAUAAUUAGCCGUGCGGAAUUAGUACCCUCGCCCCAGGCUUACGCCAGGAACGGCGCCGUUCGCUCGGGGAUGGUUCUUUUGACACAAGAAAGAAAAUAUGAAGCGAAGAAAUCGAACAAAAAUUCUGCCAAGAAAAUUUGACUCUGCAGUUUGCCGUUGCCCUCAGACUCACGCCUAAACUCCCUAGUCUUUAGGCCGAGACACGCCUGGCGUGAUUCGACAACGCGACGCGAUUUUUCAGUUUUUGAAAAUUAAUAAAAC